ACGGAGGGUGCAAGCGUUAUCCGGAUUUAUUGGGUUUAAAGGGUGCGUAGGCGGCUAUUUAAGUCAGUGGUGAAAUCCUGCAGCUCAACUGUAGAACAGCCAUUGAAACUGAGUAGCUUGAGUAAUCUUGAGGUAGGCGGAAUGUGUAGUGUAGCGGUGAAAUGCUUAGAUAUUACACAGAACACCGAUUGCGAAGGCAGCUUACUAAGGAUUUACUGACGCUGAUGCACGAAAGCGUGGGGAUCAAACAGGAUUAGAUACCCUGGUAGUCCACGCCGUAAACGAUGAUAACUCGCUGUUGGCGAUAUACAGUCAGCGGCUUAGCGAAAGCGUUAAGUUAUCCACCUGGGGAGUACGCUCGCAAGAGUG
rnacentral:rRNA from 1 species